rnacentral:tRNA from 1 species
GAGGGUGUAGCUCAGUGGCAGAGUUCUUGCCUAGCAUGCACAAGGUCCUGGGUUCAAUCCCCAGCACCUCCA